rnacentral:rRNA from 1 species
CCUACGGGAGGCUGCAGUGGGGAAUAUUGCACAAUGGGGGAAACCCUGAUGCAGCAACGCCGCGUGAGUGAGGAAGUAUUUCGGUAUGUAAAGCCCUAUCAGUAGGGAAUAGAAAAGAAGGUACCUGAAAAAGAAGCCCCGGCUAACUACGUGCCAGCAGCCGCGGUAAUACGUAGGUGGCGAGCGUUGUCCGGAUUUACUGGGCGUAAAGGGAGCGUAGGCGGUCUUUUAAGUGAGAUGUGAAAUACUCGGGCUCAACUUGAGUGCUGCAUUUCAAACUGGAAGUCUAGAGUGCAGGAGAGGAGAAUGGAAGUCCUAGUGUAGCGGUGAAAUGCGUAGAGAUAAGGAAGAACACCAGUGGCGAAGGCGAUUCUCUGGACUGUAACUGACGCUGAGGUUCGAAAGCGUGGGGAGCAAACAGGAUUAGAUACCCUUGUAGUC